CAUUAGCUUAAAAAUUGAAUUGCAUAAACUAAUGAAAUUGCAGUAAGAAAACAGGAACUCUAUCUGACUGUGGGUUUAGCUGUUAACUAGGUUAGCUCUUUUAGCUCCAUAAGAGCACACCACCAGCUGCUAACAGCUAACAAGCUCUCCUCCUGCUGAUUACAACACAGAUUUGUUCUUCACAGUCUAGACUAGCUACCUUGUUGAAGACCCACCAACAAGGACCCACUGGAUGAUCAUCAGGCUGCGAUCCGCAUCAUUUCGGGUUAGAAGAAAACAACAGCCCUGAGCUGUUAGAUGAUGAGCGCUUGUCUGUUUGCCUAUCAUUGGUCGCUGGAAGCCAGUUUUGACAAGCACGAAGCCUCCAGGAGAUGCCCGGGACCACACACUGUCGUCUGUCUUUACAACUUCAGGCUCACGGUGCAGUAAAUGAAUAACAACCAAACAACAGCAGCGAAACUGAUCAAGGGACGCAUAAUCAAUGAUUUUGUGAAUAAUUUCCAGGUUGAGACGCAUGAUCAACGAAACGGAUGAUUGCCUGCUUGGACGA